GCAUUCAAAGGAUAGUAGUUUAUCCAUUGGUCUUAGGAACCAAAAACCCUUGGUGCAAGUCCAAGUGAAAGCU
rnacentral:tRNA from 1 species